rnacentral:lncRNA from 1 species
GGUGUGGUGACAUGCACCUGUAGUCCCAGCUACUCAGGAGGCUGAGGCUGGAAGUGGAUCCUGGCAUUCCUUGGCUUGUGGCCACAUCACUCCAAUCUCUGCCUCCACCUUCACAGGGCUUUCUUCUCUUCUCCCUGUGUCUCUCUUCUGUGUAUAUCUUAUGAAGACAAUUAUCACUGGACUUAGAGCCCAACUGGAUGAUCCGGGAGGAUCUCAUCUUGAGAUGUUUAACUUGCUUAUCUCUGCAUUAUUUUUUCCAAAUGAGGGCGCAUUCACAGGUUCCAGAGGUUGAGACAGGGACAUGUCUUUCUGGAAGCCACCAUUUCACCCAUUAUAGCCUGGGGACAAGGAGUGUUCGAAAACCAGGCACCAAGUUGUCUGGGUUUAUUCCCAAGAAGGUACACUCUGCUGAGCAUGAAUCUGAUCGGGAUUCUGAUUUACAAUUAUCUGCCCACCCCUCAACUCUGCCAGCAACCCUAAAAUGGUUCACUGCUUAGCGAGCACUCUCACUCUGUGCGGUACCUUUCAUGACCUUCUCUGCUCUCUGUAAACCACUGCCCCUUACCUCCCUGUCACUCUCAGCA